GGUAGCUUGCUACCCGCUGACGAGCGGCGGACGGGUGAGUAACGCGUGAGAAUCUGCCCAUCAGUGGGGGAUAACCCGGGGAAACUCGGGCUAAUACCGCAUACGUCCUACGGGACAAAGCAGGGGACCUUUUGGCCUUGCGCUGAUGGAUGAGCUCGCGUCGGAUUAGCUUGUUGGUGAGGUAAAGGCUCACCAAGGCGACGAUCCGUAGCUGGUCUGAGAGGAUGAUCAGCCACACCGGGACUGAGACACGGCCCGGACUCCUACGGGAGGCAGCAGUGGGGAAUCUUGGACAAUGGGGGCAACCCUGAUCCAGCCAUGCCGCGUGUGUGAAGAAGGCCUUCGGGUUGUAAAGCACUUUCAGUAGGGAGGAAGGCUUCCGGUUAAUACCCGGGAGUACUUGACGUUACCUACAGAAGAAGCACCGGCUAAUUUCGUGCCAGCAGCCGCGGUAAUACGAAAGGUGCAAGCGUUAAUCGGAAUUACUGGGCGUAAAGCGCGCGUAGGCGGUGUGUUAAGUCGGAUGUGAAAGCCCAGGGCUCAACCUUGGAAUUGCAUCCGAUACUGGCACGCUAGAGUGCAGUAGAGGGAGGUGGAAUUUCCGGUGUAGCGGUGAAAUGCGUAGAGAUCGGAAGGAACACCAGUGGCG
rnacentral:rRNA from 1 species